ACCAAGUGGAUAGGGAUUACUAUGUUUUUUUAUUAGUGUCCUGUUGUAACGCGUGAUGUCGCUGUGGGGCCAGCCGGACUGAGAAUCUCGCGAGGGCACGGAGAUCACAUGAGACCUAUGUACGCGCGAACAGUCGUCUUCCUAGCACAAGCAAUGGCGAAAGUGUGUGUUUAUCGCAUGUGUGCAGGGAGAACCAGAUAGCUGUGUUCCGCUGGGAGUGUGUUUGGUGGCGUUGGACGAUAGGAGUGCGGUGAGCCAACGGAGAAUAUAUGUGACUUUGCUCCUGUUUCACGUCGGUCGAGGUUGUGUAGUUAGCCUACGUUGCGCUGGGAGCAGACCCCGAUUGUCCCGCGUCAGCAGGGGAGAUAGAGAGCUGUGUGUGUGCUACGUCCGAGAGAGGGACAGGGCUCUCAAGCUACAGGUUAGGAGAGAGAGGAUUUGGCCACUACUGUUGUCUGUUUUGGUUGUGUUUUGUACUGUUUGUUUUGUUUUGUUUUGUCAUGUUCUGACAGCCAUGUACCCCAAAAUUUGACUAAAUUAAUGCUGUUCUUGUUCGAAGACAGUCGGGGUAUUAAAGGACCACAGCUAAAAUAAUUUUUCGUGUCCUGUCAUUUUAUGAUCUGGUCACACAUG